UGCGGAAACGUGUGGUGUAUUGAAUCAAAAGCAUAAUAUACCGGUAAUAAAGCGACACAACACCGGCAAAAUGGAUGAAAUAAUUAGGUCAUGCAUAAAUUUUAUGACACUACGGAGAUACAAUUGUUGGGAAUGAAUUUCAUGAUGUGGAUCGUUGCGGAAGGAAGUAAAAUCCAGGUAAAAUAAUUUACAAUCUGAUGUACAACAAGGGUCGACUACAUCAUGGUCCUAUAAAGAUUUUUAUCUGCGCUCACGAGACGAUCGACCAGAUACAGGCUAUAAUCAACAUUGAAGGACGUUGAAAGUGAAACGCAAAUUAAUUAUUAAACGUCUCAAGAACCUACCCAUUAAUAGCACAUAGGUAU
rnacentral:lncRNA from 1 species